rnacentral:lncRNA from 1 species
AAACAAGAGGCUCUCAAGAGCCUGAAUCGCUCACCUGGUAAACAACGCCUUAUUGAACAUAUUGAACCAUGCCAGGCAAACAUGUACAGCUAACAAUUCUUCAAUAUUACAAAUAUAUAUGACUUACUGUUUAUAAAUAAAGAAAAUAGACCAAACACAACACUUAAAACUUAGCAAUGGACUGUGAAAAUGAGGUCAAAUUCAAAUAAAACCUGCGUAACCGACAUAUAGAUCAUAAAAUAUUUU